AAGUCGAACGGACCCUUCGGGGUUAGUGGCGGACGGGUGAGUAACACGUGGGAACGUGCCCUUUGGUUCGGAACAACUCAGGGAAACUUGAGCUAAUACCGAAUGUGCCCUUCGGGGGGAAGAUUUAUCGCCAUUGGAGCGGCCCGCGUUGGAUUAGCUAGUUGGUGAGGUAAAGGCUCACCAAGGCUACGAUCCAUAGCUGGUCUGAGAGGAUGAUCAGCCACACUGGGACUGAGACACGGCCCAGACUCCUACGGGAGGCAGCAGUUAGGAAUCUUGCGCAAUGGGCGAAAGCCUGACGCAGCCAUGCCGCGUGAAUGAUGAAGGUCUUAGGAUUGUAAAAUUCUUUCAGCGGGGACGAUAAUGACGGUACCCGCAGAAGAAGCUCCGGCUAACUUCGUGCCAGCAGCCGCGGUAAUACGAAGGGGGCUAGCGUUGCUCGGAAUUACUGGGCGUAAAGGGCGCGUAGGCGGACAACUAAGUCAGAGGUGAAAGCCCAGGGCUCAACCUUGGAACUGCCUUUGAUACUGGCUGUCUUGAGUUCGGGAGAGGUGUGUGGAACUCCGAGUGUAGAGGUGAAAUUCGUAGAUAUUCGGAAGAACACCAGUGGCGAAGGCGACACACUGGCCC
rnacentral:rRNA from 1 species